rnacentral:rRNA from 1 species
UACGUAGGUGGCAAGCGUUGUCCGGAUUUACUGGGUGUAAAGGGCGAGUAGGCGGGAUAGAAAGUCAGAUGUGAAAUACCGAGGCUUAACUUCGGGGCUGCAUUUGAAACUUCUGUUCUUGAGUGAUGGAGAGGCAGGCGGAAUUCCCGGUGUAGCGGUGAAAUGCAUAGAGAUCGGGAGGAACACCAGUGGCGAAGGCGGCCUGCUGGACAUUAACUGACGCUGAGGCGCGAAAGUGUGGGGAGCAAAC